GACGUAGGGGCGCGAGCGUUUUUUUUGUCCGGAUUAUUGGGCGUAAAGAGCUCGUAGGCGGCUUUGUCGCGUCGACUGUGAAAACCCGCGGCUCAACUGCGGGGCCUGCAGCCGAUACGGGGGCAGGGCUAGAGUUCGGUAGGGGGAGACUGGAAUUCCUGGUGUAGCGGUGAAAUGCGGCAGAUAUCAGGAGGAACACCCGGUGGCGAAAGGC
rnacentral:rRNA from 1 species